GAUGAACGCUGGCGGCGUGCCUAAUACAUGCAAGUCGAGCGAACAGAUGAGGAGCUUGCUCCUCUGACGUUAGCGGCGGACGGGUGAGUAACACGUGGAUAACCUACCUAUAAGACUGGGAUAACUUCGGGAAACCGGAGCUAAUACCGGAUAAUAUAUUGAACCGCAUGGUUCAAUAGUGAAAGACGGUUUUGCUGUCACUUAUAGAUGGAUCCGCGCCGCAUUAGCUAGUUGGUAAGGUAACGGCUUACCAAGGCAACGAUGCGUAGCCGACCUGAGAGGGUGAUCGGCCACACUGGAACUGAGACACGGUCCAGACUCCUACGGGAGGCAGCAGUAGGGAAUCUUCCGCAAUGGGCGAAAGCUUGACGGAGCAACGCCGCGUGAGAGAUGAAGGUCUUCGGAUCGUAAAACUCUGUUAUUAGGGAAGAACAAAUGUGUAAGUAACUAUGCACGUCUUGACGGUACCUAAUCAGAAAGCCACGGCUAACUACGUG
rnacentral:rRNA from 1 species